GUCCAAAGUUGAAUGAGAUGGAAAUCAUGACGCAAGCGGUUUACAAAUGUUUCGUGUUAGGCUAUAAAAAUGGAUGUUAUCAAACAAAACGAACAUUCACUGUGUAGUUAGGACACUUGUCAUUGCCACCAGAGGAAGAUCUUCAAUGGAUCUCGGUGCAACUUCUCUCUGCACACACCCUUGCUGCAUCCAGGUUCCUGUAGUGAUGUCUCGGAGUUGUACAUGAUCUCCAGGUUUCAGUUCAGCUUCGGCAGGGUGUCCUGCUAAAGUUGGAGCAACUUCCGGGCAGCUUCUCUCCCGAACACUGGAGCCACGAAUACCUCCAGACGACGGAUUGUUG
ensembl:lncRNA